rnacentral:rRNA from 1 species
UCGAGCGAGACCAGAGCUUCGGCUCUGGGGACAGCGGCGAACGGGUGAGUAACACGUGGGUAAUCUGCCCUCGGCAUCGGGAUAGCCCGGGGAAACCCGGAUUAAUACCGAAUGGCCUCUCGCACUCUCGGGUGCGAAAGAAAAGGUGGCUUCGGCUUCUGGCCGAGGAUGAGCCCGCGGCCGAUUAGCUUGUUGGUGGGGUAAUGGCUCACCAAGGCUCCGAUCGGUAGCUGGUCUGAGAGGACGAUCAGCCACACUGGGACUGAGACACGGCCCAGACUCCUACGGGAGGCAGCAGUGGGGAAUCUUGCGCAAUGGGCGAAAGCCUGACGCAGCGACGCCGCGUGCGGGAAGAAGGCCUUCGGGUUGUAAACCGCUUUCAGGAGGGACGAAGCCACUCGCGUUAAUAGCGUAGAGGGUGACGGUACCUCCAGAAGAAGCCCCGGCUAACUACGUGCCAGCAGCCGCGGUAAUACGUAGGGGGCUAGCGUUG